rnacentral:rRNA from 1 species
UGGUGGAGUGAUUUGUCUGGUUAAUUCCGAUAACGAACGAGACCUUAACCUGCUAAAUAGACCGAUCGUCUUUUGAUGGUCGCUGUCUUCUUAGAGGGACUGUCAGCGUUUAGCUGACGGAAGUUUGAGGCAAUAACA